UCUUAUGGAUGAGCAAAGACAGUGAUUUAUUGAGAAAGAAUCUACUCCUGGUGAAGAUGCUGUGAA
rnacentral:pre_miRNA from 1 species